rnacentral:tRNA from 1 species
UCUAAUAUGGCAGAAUAGUGCAAUGGACUUAAACCCCGUACAUAAAGUUCUUAACUUUUUUUAGAA